GAACCAAAUCAAAAUUUCCAUUCAUCUACACAGGUUUACAAGAAUUUUUUACAAGCUUUGGGAAAAUAAAACCAAUACAGAACUAGAUCAAUUUACAGCUUUCAAAAACUAGAGUUCAAAUGCUGCUAUAUUUCAAGGGUCCCUGCGUACAAAAAAAGAAGCAAUAAUAAUAAAUAAAUGAUAAUAGAAAACAAGGCUAGGAAAAAUAAAUAAUAUUCAAAAUUUCAAAUGGAAGUCCUAAAUUCUUGGGUAAGACCAAAUAAAUUUUAUUUUCAACAAAAAAUGAAAACUCUAACGCGAACGAAGCACAAAACUAUGUACUAAUUUCCAACAAUAUAUUUUUUUAAAGAAAUUUUUAACAGCAAUAUUAAAACAUAAAAUUAUUCCCAGACUAGCAUACUUGUUCUAUGCAAUUUUUAUGUCAACUUUAAUUUAACGAUAAUGUAUCUUUGGAAGAUGAAGGGAGAAUGCAUCUACAAUAAACAAGAACAAAUUGAUUGCAUGAAUAAUAUAAAUCAUCGAAUAGCAUCUAAUAUGAACAACUUACAAAAUGAAAAGAAAUUAAGCACCUAAAAAUAACUGUCAAAAAUUCAUCAGCAUAUAGAUUUUUUCUUGUAAGUAAAAUGCAUUCAAAAUCCAAACCUUGUUUAUUUAUCCAUUUGCUUGUAUAUUUAUUGUCGUUUUUAUAAUUUUUAUAAGUUUUCAGCAUACCCAAAACAAUCGGUUCAAGUAGGCAGUGCACAUAAAAUAUCUAGAUUACUAAUUAUCAUAGCAUUUAAAAUGGUAGCAAUAUCAAUGCCACAGCAGGGGGGAAAACUCAAAUCAAUAUAAUUUUUAGCUUUUUCUUUCAUUUGUCUAGAAUUAAACAAUUGAAUGAAAUAAAACGGCUAUAGAAAUCAGUAUUACAGCAGCAUUUAGUUUAGGAAAUAAAUGAAAAAAAAUAACACGAGAUUUUAAUUUUAAGAAUUGUUCAAAAGUAAAAACAUGACCAAAUUACCCUAACAAUGUCAGUUAAUAAACUACCUUCAUUAUAUUAGUUAACAAAACACCUACACAGAGGUUACUUCCAAAAUUAAGCAAAUAUAAAAAAAUUUAGAAAAUAGCUCUUCAAAAUCUAAUUUCUCUUUAGCUAUUUAUUGUUCAAGAAUAAUUUGCCAAAAGAAACUUAUUUGUCAUACAGAAAUGGAUUGUGGUGCUCAGCUGAUGAGCAAGUUGACUAACCCAAACUCAUAAUUCCCAUCAUCACCUUUGCAUAAUAUAUAAUAGUAAUAUAAUGAUUGAGAAACCACAAAAUUCAUGCGCUGAAAUCAAAACAUCACAGCAAUUCAAGAAACUUGAAAUUCAUUUGUUGCUUUGAAAAAGGAGAAUAUAUCCAGAAUUAACAAGAUCAAAACUUUUUAGGACUACUGAUCCAUGAUUGCAUGAACAACAUAUAUCAUGAAAAUAGCAUCUAAUAUGAAAAACUUACAAAAUGCAAUAGAAAUUAAGCACCUAAAAGAUUUAGAUUUGUUCUUGCAAGUAAAAUACAUUCAAAAUACAAGCCUCGUUCAUUUUUUUUAUUUGUUUGUUUAUUUAUUGUAGUUCCCACAAUUCUUAUGAUUUGUUAGAAUUCCCAAACACUUUAUUCGAGGUACUUAAAAAUAACUAGAUUACAAAUUAUUAAAGCAUUGUAAAUGGUAGGAAUAACGAUAUCACAACAGAGAAAAAAAAAACUCAAAUCAAUGUCUUUAUUAGGGUAAUUUGGUCACAUUUUUAUUUGAUGAAAUAGAUGAACUAUGCCUUUAUUGAAAGAAAUAUAAAAAUUAUGGUCCAAAUGUUUAGAUAGUUGAAAUUAAAGAAAAAAUUGCAUUUGAAUUCUCGACAAAAAAAUUAUGUGAUAAUAUAUUUGUGUGUAUAUAUGUGUAUAUAACUUGUGAAAUUCAGUAAUGAAAUCCUAUUAGAUAGCAUGAAUUUCUUUACUUCUGAAGAAUUCAUAAAAUUAAGGUCACAUGUAUUCUGCCUCUUUUCGUUGUAAAUGCAAGAAAAUGCAUGUAUAAUGCUGAUUUCUACAAUAAUUUUAUUUCCUUUUAAUGUUUCAUGCUAGAAAAAUUUUAAAAAUUACCUUUAUUAUAUUCUUAGCAGAUUUUUCUUUGAAUUGGUGACAGUAAGCUCAAGCUUAGGCUACUCAUCACUCAUCAGCG
rnacentral:lncRNA from 1 species